AUUUCUGCCCAGCUGGUCUCUGAGUGGUGGUUCCAGGGACAAACGAAGGUAUCCUGUCUUUCUGAAGGGGACAGUCCUCAGUACAGCUGGACACUGGAUGGACACACACUCCCAGAGUCUGAGUUCCUCUCUGGAAAUAAUGAGAAUAACAUAAUUAUUCUAAGACAAAAUAUCUCAGGAAUUCUGGCCUGCUCAGUCAGAAAUCAGAUCAGUCAUUCCUUCAAACAGAUAAACCUCUCUGGCAGUGGUGUGAAAAUGAUCUGUGAUGGGAGACAGGAUGGAGCACAGUGUUAUGAAGCUUUUGGAAGUAAAGUGGACAUUCAACUGGUGGAAAAUGUCUCUACAAUCCCCAGAUUCCAUUGGACAAAGGACCAGUCAGUAAUACUCAGGUGGAUAAAUAACAACAUUUUAUUUCGUGCGAAAGAGAGCAAAGUUCUCUUUUUUCCUAACAAUGGAACAGUUAGGAUUAAGGACCUGAGCAGGACGGACAGUGGUCAUUAUAAACUUGAAAUGUUUGAUAAAGGUGGAAGACAAAUAGGACAGAGAACCCUUCAGUUCUAUGUUCAAGCUCCUGUGUCAUCUGUCCAGCUGGUCUUGACGUGUUUGUCCCAAGGACAGAGGAAGGUGUCCUGUCUCUGUGAAGGGGACAGUCCCCAGUACAGCUGGAUGCUGAAUGGAUAUCCACUGACAGACUCAGAAAUUUUCUCAAGAAAUAAUGAGAGUAACAUCAUAAUUCUGAGAGGAAACAUCUCAGGAAAUUUGGCCUGCUUUGUCAAAAAUCAGAUUAGCAGUUCCUUCAAUCAGAUAAACAUA